GAUGAAGAACGCAGUGAAAUGCGAUAAGUAAUGUGAAUUGCAGAAUUCAGUGAAUCAUCGAAUCUUUGAACGCACCUUGCGCCCUUUGGCUAUUCCGAAGGGCAUGCCUGUUUGAGUAUCAUGAACACCUCAACUCUUCACGGCUUGCCGUGAUGAGUUUGGACUUUGGGGGUCUUGCUGGCCUACGAGCCAGCUCCUCUCAAAUGUAUUAGCUUGCCGGUGUUUGGUGGCAUCACAGGUGUGAUAACUAUCUACGCUUGUGGUUUUCCACUAGGUAACCUUCAGCAAUGGAGGUUCACCGGAGCUCACAAAUGUCUCUCCUUGCCAAGGACAGAUUUUGACCAUUUGAUCUCAAAUCAGGUAGGACUACCCGCUGAACUUAAGCAUAUCAAUAAGCGGAGA
rnacentral:misc_RNA from 1 species